UUUCUACUCCCUCCGUCCGAAAAUACUUUUCAUCAAAAUGGAUAAAAAGAGAUGUAUCUAAAACUAAAAUACGUCUAGAUACAUUUCCUUUUAUCCAUUUUGAUGACAAGUAUUUCCGGACGGAGGGAGUAUUUG
rfam:Triticum aestivum genome assembly, contig: Triticum_aestivum_CS42_TGACv1_scaffold_184287_2DS